UACAGAGGGGGCAAGCGUUGUUCGGAAUUACUGGGCGUAAAGGGCGUGUAGGCGGCCAACUAAGUCCGACGUGAAAUCCCCAGGCUUAACCUGGGAACUGCGUCGGAUACUGGAUGGCUUGAAUCCGGGAGAGGGAUGCGGAAUUCCAGGUGUAGCGGUGAAAUGCGUAGAUAUCUGGAGGAACACCGAUGGCGAAGGCAGCCCCCUGGGCCAACACUGACGCUCAGGCACGAAAGCGUGGGGAGCAAACAGG
rnacentral:rRNA from 1 species